UAGAUACCCUGGUAGUCCACGCCGUAAACGAUGUCGACUUGGAGGUUGUGCCCUUGAGGCGUGGCUUCCGGAGCUAACGCGUUAAGUCGACCGCCUGGGGAGUACGGCCGCAAGGUUAAAACUCAAAUGAAUUGACGGGGGCCCGCACAAGCGGUGGAGCAUGUGGUUUAAUUCGAUGCAACGCGAAGAACCUUACCUACUCUUGACAUCCAGAGAACUUAGCAGAGAUGCUUUGGUGCCUUCGGGAACUCUGAGACAGGUGCUGCAUGGCUGUCGUCAGCUCGUGUUGUGAAAUGUUGGGUUAAGUCCCGCAACGAGCGCAACCCUUAUCCUUUGUUGCCAGCGGUUCGGCCGGGAACUCAAAGGAGACUGCCAGUGAUAAACUGGAGGAAGGUGGGGAUGACGUCAAGUCAUCAUGGCCCUUACGAGUAGGGCUACACACGUGCUACAAUGGCGCAUACAAAGAGAAGCGACCUCGCGAGAGCAAGCGGACCUCAUAAAGUGCGU
rnacentral:rRNA from 1 species